rnacentral:lncRNA from 1 species
CAUAGCUUGUUGCUUGUAUGCUUGGCGACCUACAUAAACGAGCGGCUGUCUGUGUGUGAGGCCUGGCGAUCUGUACAAGCACAUGCCUCUUUGCAUGCAGUAAAGGUCUUCUAGCACGCCUAGCUUGCCUUCUCAUGCGAGAAAGGAUUCCGCGAGUGUGAAGUCCCCUUCUUGCACAUGCGACUGCUCGCAUAUGUGAACAAAGAGGUUUGCAUAUGCAGCAUGGAUGUCUGCCAUUCUUCAAGGCCAAUUGGCCUUGCUCCUCCCUUAGGUUGGGUCAAAAGUUGACCUUGUGAUUCUUCAAGUCACGAGUCUCUUCAUGGGCUUCAAGUCUUCUUUGAACAAACUUGGCAUAUUCUUUAGAAUAAUCUCAAUGUGGUUAAGGAUAUAGAUAUCUUCCUUUUUGAGAUGAUCCAAUUUAUAAAACUGAAAGAAUCUAGAAUUGCUUGCUUGUUUGGGUCUGCAUCUGCGUGUUGUGCAGUGUGCGUGUGUGGUGUCUUUGUGCUUAUGCAUGUAUGUUGUGCGCGUUGCACGCCCUUCUUCUCGUGCAGUAG